UUGCUUGCAAUCCGCUGACGACCGGCGCACGGGUGCGUAACGCGUAUGCAACCUACCUUCUACAGGGGGAUAGUCAAUAGAAAUGUUGAAUAAUACCCCAUACGAUCUUUGAAUAGCAUUAUUUAAAGAAGAAAGCUCCGGCGGUAGAAGAUGGGCAUGCGUCCUAUUAGUUAGUUGGUAAGGUAACGGCUUACCAAGACUUCGAUAGGUAGGGGUCCUGAGAGGGAGACCCCCCACACUGGUACUGAGACACGGACCAGACUCCUACGGGAGGCAGCAGUGAGGAAUAUUGGACAAUGGAGGCAACUCUGAUCCAGCCAUGCCGCGUGCAGGAAGACUGCCCUAUGGGUUGUAAACUGCUUUUAUACAGGAAGAAAUAUACCUACGUGUAGGUAUUUGACGGUACUGUACGAAUAAGGAUCGGCUAACUCCGUGCCAGCAGCCGCGGUAAUACGGAGGAUCCAGGCGUUAUCCGGAAUCAUUGGGUUUAAAGGGUCCGUAGGCGGUCUUUUAAGUCAGAGGUGAAAUCCUACAGCUCA
rnacentral:rRNA from 1 species